ensembl:lncRNA
GUUAGCAGAGGGCAUGGCAGGGUAGACACGCCCACCUACGGGUCAAGCCAAUCUGUGACCUCCCACUGUUUUAUCACGAGCAGCCAGUGAGGAGGGCGCUCCCACAGCCCUCAUCUGCACCACCUUCUGCCGGCCACUGAUGCUUUCCCCGGGGGCUCUCAAGAGCCGCACCGCCCGCCCCCACUGUGCAGCCAAAUCCAGCGUGAUUAUCUACAUAUUGUCCCAACUGGGACCCAACGCGCCUUGAUUCUGCUGAUGUGGGGCCCUGCUGGGCAGGGGGGCCCCGCGGCGCCCUGUGGCUGCCACACACAUGAGAGGUGCAUUAAAAUCGUAAGGUGACCACACACCUACGGUGAUCUCCCACUUUCAAUCCAACGGCAAUGCAUUGAGACCCUGCAGUUGAACCCUUAAUGGGAGAGAGAGGAACAAGAGGCAAUGAGUCACUAUGAACCUAGUCUGUCCUGAGGUCCCUGCAUGUCUCUUGUAGAGGACGCUUUGAAAGCUAUAUGGUCGAAUAGGUUAGUUGUUGUUUCCACUGGCUGGUCAGCAGCCAUUGCGAUGAACACACCCUUUGUUGCCAUGGCUAUGUUGGCCACCGCCCUUCUCCCCGUCUAUAUAUCUUCCUGUUUCUUUUCUCUUUGUGUUGCACAUGGUCUCCCUCUGGUCUGUCGAGGGGAGUUUCUCCGACUGCUGACCGGAUGCCUUCAGUGUGUACCCCCCAAACGCUAGCAGAUGUCUCCUCCUCCUCAGAAGCUCCAUCACAUCCCGUCAGGUCUCCCCUUCGCUCAGCCAGACUGCAGACCCUUAAUGCAUCAACAUUUAAUGAGCAGCCGUCCGCCCUGCGCGUGCGGCUUCUGUUGGAGCAGCAGCCCGACACGGGGAGGUCAGCCCGGAUCAGAUCCAGGCGGCUGACACCUGUACCGCACCGCUUCACGCUCAGCCGUCAACCACACAGUGGGAGGAGAAUCAGCACGCUGAAACAGGAGUUACAGAGGAAAGACACAGGCUGCUAUUGUUUUAUC